UACGUAGGGGGCAAGCGUUGUCCGGAAUCAUUGGGCGUAAAGAGCUCGUAGGCGGUUUGUCACGUCUGCUGUGAAAACUGGAGGCUCAACCUCCAGCCUGCAGUGGGUACGGGCAGACUAGAGUGCGGUAGGGGAGAUUGGAAUUCCUGGUGUAGCGGUGGAAUGCGCAGAUAUCAGGAGGAACACCGAUGGCGAAGGCAGAUCUCUGGGCCGUAACUGACACUGAGGGACGAAAGCUAGGGGAGCGAAAGGG
rnacentral:rRNA from 1 species